rnacentral:rRNA from 1 species
UACGGAGGGUGCAAGCGUUAUCCGGAUUUACUGGGUUUAAAGGGUGUGUAGGCGGGCUUUUAAGUCAGUGGUGAAAUCUCCGGGCUCAACCCGGAAACUGCCAUUGAUACUAUUAGUCUUGAAUUUUGUUGAGGUAGGCGGAAUAAGUCAUGUAGCGGUGAAAUGCAUAGAUAUGACUUAGAACACCAAUUGCGAAGGCAGCUUGCUAAACAAAUAUUGACGCUGAGACACGAAAGCCAGGGGAGCAAACGGG